AUGUUUCGGGAGUGCCUUGAUGAUUGUGGCCUGGUAGAUUUGGGAGACAUUGGUCCUAAAUUCACAUGGUCCAAUAAACAAGAGGGCAAACGUAAUAUCAGGGUCAGAUUGGAUAGGGUUGUUGCCAAUGGGGAUUUCAUGCAGAUUUUUGACGAUUGCACAGCAGAGAACAUCAUCACCACCACUUCGGAUCAUUAUGCCAUUUUCGUGACAAUAGCAAGAAGAGAUGAAAAGGUCCACAAUGAACCAAUCCAACAGUCCUUCAAGUUUGAAGCAGCAUGGAUGAGAGCCUCUGAUUAUGAUCAUAUGAUUGAGGAAUAUUGGAAGGUGCACAAAGGAGGCAUUACUUCUAUAGAUAACACAUGGUCUGCUCUUAAUAAAUUGUCAUGCAGCUUGCAAGAGUGGAGCAGAGUCUCUUUUGGCUCAGUUAAAAAGGAGAUAAGGAAACUAGAGAAAAGGCUAACUAGUAUUCGUAGAAAUAAUAUUGUGAGCAACAACUCAGACGAAGAAAGAGAUAUAAAGAAGAGACUGAGUGAGUUGUUUGAAAGAGAAGAGAUCAUGGCUAGACAACGGUCAAGGGUAGAAUGGCUCAGGGAAGGAGACCGGAAUACCUCCUUCUUCCAUGCUCGAGCUUCAGCAAGAAUAAGAAAUAACAGAAUCAAAUUCCUUCGUAAAGAUGAUGGAUCUAGAUGUGAAGACCCUGAGGGCAUCAAAGGCAUGGUAUAUGAUUUCUACACCUCACUUUUCACCUCUGAACCCUCAGUUUCAAUUGAUGCAGUACUUGAAGCCAUACCAAAGAAAGUUACUGAACAAAUAAAUGAAGCCCUGUGUCGAGAGUACACAAAUGAUGAAAUCAAGGCUGCUUCCAAAUGGGACCUACUAAGGCCCCGGGCCUGA
rnacentral:rRNA from 1 species